UACGGGGGGAGCAAGCGUUGUUCGGAUUUACUGGGCGUAAAGGGCGCGUAGGCGGCCACCGCAAGUCGACUGUGAAAUCUCCGGGCUUAACCCGGAAAGGUCAGCCGAUACUGCGGGGCUAGAGUGCAGAAGGGGCAACUGGAAUUCUCGGUGUAGCGGUGAAAUGCGUAGAUAUCGAGAGGAACACCUGCGGCGAAGGCGGGUUGCUGGGCUGACACGUGACGCUGGAGGCGCGAAAGCUAGGGAGCGAACGGG
rnacentral:rRNA from 1 species